rnacentral:tRNA from 1 species
GCCUGGCUGGUUCAGUUGGAAGAGCAUGAGACUCUUGAUCUCAGGGCUAUGAAUUUGAGCCCCAUGUUGGGUG